rnacentral:tRNA from 1 species
GCCCCGAUAGCCCAACGGCAGAGGCAAUGUGCUCAAACCACAUCCAGUGUCGGUUCGAAUCCGACUCGGGGCACCA